rnacentral:misc_RNA from 1 species
AAGUCGUAACAAGGUUUCCGUAGGUGAACCUGCGGAAGGAUCAUUAAUGAUUGGCCGAAAGGCCUUAUCUAUCCUUCAUACCUCUGUGAACCGUUGGCCCUCGGGCCGUUUUUACAAAACACUGUGUAAUGAACGUCAAACAUAUUAAACAAAACAAAA